rnacentral:rRNA from 1 species
CUACGGGUCGCAGCAGUGAGGAAUAUUGCACAAUGGGGGGAACCCUGAUGCAGCAACGCCGCGUGGAGGAUGACGCAUUUCGGUGUGUAAACUCCUUUUAUAUGUCAAGAGAAUGACGGUAGCAUAUGAAUAAGCACCGGCUAACUCCGUGCCGGCAGCCGCGGUAAUACGGAGGGUGCAAGCGUUACUCGGAAUCACUGGGCGUAAAGGACGCGUAGGCGGGUUGGAAAGUCAGGUGUGAAAUCCUACAGCUUAACUGUAGAACUGCACUUGAAACUUCUAAUCUAGAGUAUGGGAGGGAGAGAUGGAAUUAGUGGUGUAGGGGUAAAAUCCGUAGAUAUCACUAGGAAUACCUAAAGCGAAGGCGAUCUCCUGGAACAUUACUGACGCUAAGGCGUGAAAGCGUGGGGAGCAAACAGGAUUAGAUACCCGUGUAGUC